UGGGGAAUAUUGGGCAAUGGGCGAAAGCCUGACCCAGCGACGCCGCGUGGGUGAUGAAGGCCUUCGGGUUGUAAAGCCCUUUCGUGCGGAACGAACAGUCUCGCGACUAAUACUCGCGGGAUUUGACGGUACCGCAGGAAGAAGCACCGGCUAACUCCGUGCCAGCAGCCGCGGUAAUACGGGGGGUGCAAGCGUUGUUCGGAAUUACUGGGCGUAAAGGGCGCGCAGGCGGUUGUGCAAGUCAGUUGUGAAAUCCCCCGGCUUAACCGGGGAACUGCAUCUGAAACUGCAUGACUCGAGUACAGAAGAGGGAAACGGAAUCCCCGGUGUAGAGGUGAAAUUCGUAGAUAUCGGGAGGAACACCAGUGGCGAAGGCGGUUUCCUGGUCUGAUACUGACGCUGAGGCGCGAAAGCGUGGGGAGCAAACAG
rnacentral:rRNA from 1 species